AUACGUAGGGUGCAAGCGUUAAUCGGAAUUACUGGGCGUAAAGCGUGCGCAGGCGGUGAUGUAAGACAGAGGUGAAAUCCCCGGGCUCAACCUGGGAACUGCCUUUGUGACUGCAUCGCUGGAGUGCGGCAGAGGGGGAUGGAAUUCCGCGUGUAGCAGUGAAAUGCGUAGAUAUGCGGAGGAACACCGAUGGCGAAGGCAAUCCCCUGGGCCUGCACUGACGCUCAUGCAUGAAAGCGUGGGGAGC
rnacentral:rRNA from 1 species